rnacentral:rRNA from 1 species
CCCGGGUCUUGUACACACCGCCCGUCACACCACGAGAGUUUACAACACCCGAAGUCGGUGAGGUAACCGCGAGGAGCCAGCCGCCGAAGGUGGGGUAGAUGAUUGGGGUG